GGAAGUGGACUCGUUUUCCACCGGAAGGAGGGAGAAAUUGCGACCGAGAGCCUGACACCUGAUGCUGGCGGCUUUUGUCUCGCGAAUUUGGGCCAGAAUUUGUCCACGUUGGGCGGCGGGUGACUAUGGAGUAAGUGUCUGACGUGGCAGGCGUCCCAGGAAUGGGAUAAGAGAUGGGCAUCUGUAUCACCUGAAAGCAGAGAGCAGUUGUUUCCUUGCUCGGAUCAUUCAGAGUGCGCAGCCACCACCAUGCCUUAGAUGUGUGUAAUUCAAGUGGAGAAGACAUAAGCCAGUGGCGGCAAUAUCCACACGUGAGUGUAAACGAUUUAUUAUCAGAGGUUGCAGCUAUACAUGGCCAUGAGGUAAACCCUGCCCCUGGUUGAAUUUAGUUUCAUCAGCUUCUACAUGGGAUUGUAAAGACUUGGAAUAUAUUACAAAAACCAGCAGGUUCCCCCCCCCCCUUUUUUAAGAUUUAUUUUCUUCAUGAAGAUAACAUGCUUGAACAAAGUUCUUUAUGGUGAGUAACUGUGAUGCUUGAAGUUGGUUAUCCACUAAUUCUAGUAAAUUUUAGAUGUCAAAUUUUAGAUAUAGAUACCUUGUUAAAUAAUAAAAAAAUAUCAAACUUU